rnacentral:rRNA from 1 species
UACGUAGGGGGCAAGCGUUGUCCGGAAUCAUUGGGCGUAAAGAGCGUGUAGGCGGUCCGGUAAGUCGGUUGUGAAAGUCCAGGGCUCAACCCUGGGAUGCCGACCGAUACUGUCGGACUAGAGUUCGGAAGAGGAGAGUGGAAUUCCCGGUGUAGCGGUGAAAUGCGCAGAUAUCGGGAGGAACACCUAUGGCGAAGGCAGCUCGCUGGGACGUGACUGACGCUGAGACGCGAAAGCGUGGGGAGCAAACAGG